rnacentral:rRNA from 1 species
GAUGUGUCGACAGGCGGCCCCCUGGACACAAGACUGACGCUCAGGUGCGAAAGCGUGGGGAGCAGAACAUGGAUUAGAGUCCCCUGGUAGUCCACGCCGUAAACGAUGUCGACUUGGAGGUUGUGCCCUUGAGGCGUGGCUUCCGGAGCUAACGCGUUAAGUCGACCGCCUGGGGAGUACGGCCGCAAGGUUAAAACUCAAAUGAAUUGACGGGGGCCCGCACAAGCGGUGGAGCAUGUGGUUUAAUUCGAUGCAACGCGAAGAACCUUACCUACUCUUGACAUCCAGAGAACUUAGCAGAGAUGCUUUGGUGCCUUCGGGAACUCUGAGACAGGUGCUGCAUGGCUGUCGUCAGCUCGUGUUGUGA